GUGGACGCCAGUCUGCAUGGAGCCGACCUUGAAAUACCACCCUUUAAUGUUUGAUGUUCUAACGUUGACCCGUAAUCCGGGUUGCGGACAGUGUCUGGUGGGUAGUUUGACUGGGGCGGUCUCCUCCUAAAGAGUAACGGAGGAGCACGAAGGUUGGCUAAUCCUGGUCGGACAUCAGGAGGUUAGUGCAAUGGCAUAAGCCAGCUUGACUGCGAGCGUGACGGCGCGAGCAGGUGCGAAAGCAGGUCAUAGUGAUCCGGUGGUUCUGAAUGGAAGGGCCAUCGCUCAACGGAUAAAAGGUACUCCGGGGAUAACAGGCUGAUACCGCCCAAGAGUUCAUAUCGACGGCGGUGUUUGGCACCUCGAUGUCGGCUCAUCACAUCCUGGGGCUGAAGUAGGUCCCAAGGGUAUGGCUGUUCGCCAUUUAAAGUGGUACGCGAGCUGGGUUUAGAACGUCGUGAGACAGUUCGGUCCCUAUCUGCCGUGGGCGCUGGAGAACUGAGGGGGGCUGCUCCUAGUACGAGAGGACCGGAGUGGACGCAUCACUGGUGU
rnacentral:rRNA from 1 species